GGUAUAGACCCGAAACCAGGCGAUCUAUCCAUGAGCAGGUUGAAGGUUGGGUAACACUAACUGGAGGACCGAACCCACUGUCGUUGAAAAGCCAGGGGAUGACUUGUGGAUAGGGGUGAAAGGCUAAUCAAGCCUGGUGAUAGCUGGUUCUCCCCGAAAGCUAUUUAGGUAGCGCCUCGGACGAAUACCAUAGGGGGUAGAGCACUGUUUCGGCUAGGGGGUCAUCCCGACUUACCAAACCGAUGCAAACUCCGAAUACCUAUGAGU
rnacentral:rRNA from 1 species